rnacentral:rRNA from 1 species
AUUGAACGCUGGCGGCAUGCCUUACACAUGCAAGUCGAACGGCAGCGGGGGAGAAGCUUGCUUUUCCUGCCGGCGAGUGGCGAACGGGUGAGUAAUACAUCGGAACGUGCCCUGUAGUGGGGGAUAACUAGUCGAAAGAUUAGCUAAUACCGCAUACGACCUGAGGGUGAAAGUGGGGGACCGCAAGGCCUCAUGCUAUAGGAGCGGCCGAUGUCUGAUUAGCUAGUUGGUGGGGUAAAGGCCUACCAAGGCGACGAUCAGUAGCUGGUCUGAGAGGACGAUCAGCCACACUGGGGCUGAGACCCGGCCCAGACUCCUACGGGAGGCAGCAGUGGGGAAUUUUGGACAAUGGGCGAAAGCCUGAUCCAGCAAUGCCGCGUGUGUGAAGAAGGCCUUCGGGUUGUAAAGCACUUUUGUCCGGAAAGAAAUGGCUCUGGUUAAUACCUGGGGUCGAUGACGGUACCGGAAGAAUAAGGACCGGCUAACUACGUGCCAGCCGCCGCAGUAA